GGAAAGGUGGCUCAGCGGUAGAGUGCUUGCCUUGCAUGCAUGAGGCCCUGGGUUCGAUUCCUCAGUACCA
rnacentral:tRNA from 1 species